GAUGAACGCUGGCGGCGUGCCUAAUACAUGCAAGUCGAACGGAGUGCUAGCAAUAGUACUUAGUGGCGAACGGGUGAGUAACGCGUUGGUGACCUGCCCCGAAGAGGGGGGAUAACAGCUCGAAAGGGCUGCUAAUACCCCAUAAUAUCUCGCUGGUUAGAGUGGUGAGAUGAAAGGAGUAAUCCACUUUGGGAGGGGCCGUGCGUCCCAUCAGCUAGUUGGUAGGGUAAAAGCCUACCAAGGCGAAGACGGGUAGGGGGCCUGAGAGGGUGAUCCCCCACACUGGCACUGAAACACGGGCCAGACACCUACGGGAGGCAG
rnacentral:rRNA from 1 species